UUUUUUUUUUUUUUUUUGAAUGGCUGUGUGGGGAUAGAGAUGUAGGUGAUAUUGCUACGUGCAUUUACGUUGAUGUAAUAAAAACUGUAGAUUGAAAGAGAAUGUAGAAUACUAGUCAGAAUUUGGAAGUCUUUGUUUAGCUGUACAAGAUUUCAUGUAAUGAUUUAUAAUAAGCUGAAGCUUGAAACAAAGGUUGGUUUAGUUUGCGGUGCUACCCAUCAAGGAAUCAUUCAGAAUUUAGAAGAACCUGAGUUUUUAUUUACGUACCUCAUCAAGUUGAUCCAUAGACGCAAGUUGAGCGCAUGAAAUAUCAAACACUUGCCCCUGUUUCUUUUUCUUCUAGUUGUUUAGUUAUCUCCUAUUAUUAACUGCUAUUAUAGCUGAAACUAGAGUUAGUUUUGAGCUAAAAAGAGGGACAG
rnacentral:misc_RNA from 1 species